UUGGGGGGAAAGUGAUGAGCAGACCACCUCCACUGUAAAGGCGGCCCAGGCUGUCCCGGUAAUGUAUGGAACAGCUUUGUCCCCGCAGAUAAGAGCAGCAUCCAGGAAUGUUCCACAUUUUUCCGCCUUACAGGACCCUCUAGACCCCAGCUGCCAAGACAAGUCGGGAGGGUCCUCCUCUCUGGCCUGGGGGGGGUGAUCAUACGGUGCGUUAGAGUCGCUGGUUUCCUCUGAGAGAAGAAUCAUCUCUUGAAGAUAAGGGUGUUUCAUUGCAGUGAGAGUGUGACAGGGAUAUAAAAGUUCAAUCUACUGUGAGUUUAAGCCAAUUUCGAUGGGUCAUGCACUUUUACAUGCAUUUUAACGGAGACGUUUAUCCGUUUUUCCUGGACCACACACGGUUAAAUAUCUCAAGAUAUUUUAAGACGUCACUGGGCUUUUCUUUAAGAAUUGGUUGCAUUUUAUUUUGUGAUCCGAUUAGAUUCAAAGGAACGUAAACUGGGGUCACGGUGAAAGCAAUAGUAGCAUUACAGCAUCGGAGUUUAUGAUUGGGUCAGUCAGAGAUUAUUUCCCACUCUGACUCAUAAAAGCCAGACAGACUGGGGACAACUCUUCAGUAUAGAAGGAGUUUUAUUAUAUUGUCUACACAUAUUUAUCAUAUAUCUGAAUUUAUGCUUUCCCAAUGGGCUCACAAUGAAUAAGAGUAAUCCUGUUUUUACCAUUUUCUGUAAGAUUUAUCCCUCUCUAGUCAUUUGAGAUAUUCAUAGGAUAGUGUAAUACUUUCAUUUAGGUUCAAAACUUUGUAAACACUGUGAAGGUUUCUCAACUACCAACAGAUCAGAAACUAAUAAGAUAAUGGAUUAUCCAACAUCUUAGAGGGGGUCACCAAACUGUAUCUCAAGUCACAGCAAAUGUCAAACCAAUAGGUACAAACAAUGACGUCCAAUCAGCUAAUUUAAAGAUACAGUGUGUAGUUUUUAUUGACAUUAAGUAGAUUUAAAAUGUAACUUUAAAUGUAACAGUGUGUUUACAUUAGAGCUUUUUAUGCCUGCAGGAGUGGGUCCACUUCUAAGAAGCCACCAUGUCUCUACAGUUGCUUUGAAUUGACAAUCUAGACAAAGACGGCAUUUGUUGUUGUGCAUGAAAGAAAAUUGUACUGAUAGUUGUUCUCAGAGGCCAGUAUCGCCUCGAAACUUCACAAGCAUUUCAAUUUAGUAUGUGACUGCCUAAAACCACUAAAAAAAAAAAUCCAAUUUCUCGACAGUACCUUCAGAGGGGAUUUUUUCAACGUUUUUUCUCUUUUUAUUUUAUCAACCAAAUUCACUUUUAGACUAGCUUUGCAUGACUUUCAUCUCAAAAGACACUUUUUUCUCUAGGGUCCCUGAAAAGCUAUAUUUCUCCAAAAGCCUUAGAUGCUUUAUUUUGGCGAGCCUUUCCAGUGAUGCAAAAUUAGACACAGCUUGUUGAAAAGUUAUCACACUACAGAAAACGUCUAGGACUAGCCAUUAGCACUCACUCUGCUCCCCAUUUAGCCAUGUUGACAUGCAUUCGCUAAUGUUACUUACAGCUUGAUUGAAGGUCUUUAAGGGUUGAACAGCCUCAAGUGUAAGCAACAUUUCAGAUAUAAAUCCGGCUCGUUCUGGCCUUAGGAUUGCAAACAAAUCAUCAGUGAAGUUGGGAGUAAAAACAUCUUUAUCUUUGGCAGGGAAGGAACACACGUUAGCAUGUUUCUGAGACAUAAUGAAGUGCAGAGGAAAAAGCUGAGUGGUGUAACAGCAUUUCCAGCUUCAGGGUGGGCAUGUCUUUGACAGAGCUGCGGCCAAGUCCCAGCGUAACACGUUUCCUUCAAGUAAUUAAUCAAUAGCAGUAAUAUCCGGACUCUUGGGUGGUGAAUAUUACCAAUAGCCAUGAAUUUAGGCUGUUCACGAAACAUAACAAACCUCAAAUGAGAUAACAAAUCUGCCAUAUUCGUCUUUAUGCCUCCUGAUUUAUAAUCAAAUUUGCAGUCUUGCGAUUAGGGGACAAAAGAAGAGCAUCUAAAACUGCAGCAGUAACUUUUCUUUGAAGAAUUUUAAUCAAGGAUUUAUUAGUGUUGUCGACCCGUGGCUCUUCGUUGUUUUUCCAUCAUUCCCUGACCUCAAACUCGAGGGACCUCAAGCUGCAAAUCUGCAUCCGAUGGUGAAGGACUGCCUCAAACCCUGACAUUAUUUCAGCAGGGCAGGAAGAGACAGUCCAUUCUGCAAAUUGACUCCUUCAGGAGGCUGUGGUCUUGCAAUCUCCUCACCUCCCCAGUGUUCUCCUCUGCUGGGAGAUACGCACAAAGCAGGAAACCGAUCCUGCGAAGACGGGCGUGGAUUUAUGACACGGAGGCAAGUGCGAGCGAGGAAGGCCUAUUCCCAUCUGGGCUGGGAGCCACCGCUGCACUUGGAGAUUUAUAGCGAGGAUGACACAGCUGAUUACUCUCGGUUACUGAAGAGAAUUGGACAUGGACCGGCCACAGGGCGGUUCAGAGUGUGUAUUUGUGUUUAUGAUGUUGCAAAUGGAAGCACAGUAACCCACUUUUGUUUGGCUUGCUCCUCAUCAAACCUCCUCGACCUCUGUGGCCUGAGGUUCCCUCCGAUGGACAGGACAGAUAACGUGACCUGGGGGACAAUCAGUGACGGAAUAAAGGGACAGAGGGCUGAAAGACAAUAACACACCCAGACUAAUGGAAAAAGCAUACAGAAUGUUGGGCAUGCCAUCUCUGGAUGUGAAGAAAUGCAGAGACUUUGCAGUGACCCCAUAAACCGCAUGUGCUGUGGACAUUUCCUUAUUCCUCUUGACAAAUUUGUGGGCUUGGCGUUAUGCUGCGGCCAAAUCCUGGACUUUGAGAGUUCAGCCAAACCAAAUAAUGGCUGCACAAUGGCUGAGGAGUUUUUAUGACCCCGCUGACCCCGUCUGGAGCGAGAGUCCGGAUUACGGUCCUGGGCAUACUCAAGAAGCGAACUCCCAAACGUCUGUCACCUUGUCCGAUGUCUCACGGAUGGCUCUCCGCCUUCUUGGCAGAUGCGACCACCAAACCAAGAUAAUAAAGUCGUAAAGUCUCGCUCUUACCCGCUCAAUAAAUCAACGUGAGGCAAGUGAAAGCAGCAAGUGAGGAGCCAAGUAAAGCCAGAUGUUUGUCUGUUUUCCUUGAACUAACAUUAAACAUGUGUAAUGAGAUUCGUCAUUUGGUUAACAGCGGGUAACGGCGUCUUGUGCAUUGUUAGGGAGCGGUUGAACUCAACCGAAGAUUUGGGUUUGCACAUCUACAGUUUUUCUUAGUUUCAUCCUGGGGUGAAGAAGUCAACGCAUGUCAGGAAAGACAAAGGACAGACCCUUACAUUGGUCCACAUCAUCUUGGAAUAAGUGCGGUUUUCUCACAAACCGCUUGUCCCUCCCAAAGGCCUAAAAGUAGGCUUAGGGCCUAAAGUCCAUUCCAUCCGUCUCAUUCCUCUUAGCUGCUUGGAUGGGACUUUGGGUGAAAGAAGUUUCCCUGUGUGUGAUUGAUGAGCCAUGGCCAAUUAGAGGCUUAGCCCUGGAGGCCCACAAAGACACCCGGGAUCGCAGACAUAAACACUGGCGGCCAUAGGGUCUGAGGAUACCUGUUGUCCAGGACUAGGAGCAGCAGCUGAGGAGGACAAUGUUUCAGCUUUGGAGGUUUCGGAUGCAACGCCAGCUGGACGUACCUUUAAAAAGAAGUCCUAUAAGACUGUAAAAGUCUGUCUCACGUGGAAAUUCCUGUCAGUAUUCCAGUAUGGUGCCAUAUUAGUGAGGGUAGGGUGAUGGUGGGUGGCGGGUUCAUCUGACACCCUGCGGUUGACGAGCAACAGGGCGCCAGGCGGGGGCUCAUUAGACAAACUAUGACAACAAGACAUUGCCCUUGAAAAUCAAUUAUAAACAGAGGAGCGUCCCUGCAUCUGUUUCUGCUUGUAGCUAUGCAGCACUGUCUGCCUCUUUUUGUUUUUUUUCACAAGGUUUGCCUCCACUGCCGUUCAGAUGGACAUCCCAGUGGGAUUAGCGAUGGCACUGAAGCCUCUGGGACAGCGCUUGUAAAUCAGAGCAGAUGAACUGGAGCGAUGACAGGUCUGGGAGGCCUCUGUUAUUUGACUGCGCCGUUUAUUAGAGCUUCCAGGAGGGGGGUGGCUUCUCAUUAAAGGCUCUGAGUGUGUCCCCCAGUGUGAGGCAUGUAAAAAGUAGAGUAAAAAAUGAUGCGGCGGUUCUGCCAGGGCCAUAUGUGGGGCUUUUGCGUGGACUAACAGGGUCUUAUUAAUGUCCAUUAAUGACCCUUCAGCACUUUGCUUAUACAACCUUGGGGCCCAGGCUACCUUCAAUUGAUUCAACAUGUCACCUUUUCACCACUAAGUGCCAAAAAGCUGUUCUUUAAAUAGAAAUCUGGGUAAAUUCCUGGGCUCUUGAAACUGCUAAAGGGACCUGUUUUCCACCUACCAUCACAACCUGGCAGUCAACCAGGCGGCCAGAGAUCCUCACACGGUGCUAGUUCAUCAAUCUUACAGACGUUUGCCUUACACUUAAGAAUUGUUUGUCCCUGCUCUCCUUGAUAUAAAAUAAACUAUUUUUAGACUACCACGAAUUAUCAUAAGUGGUCAGUUGUUAUUUUAUGAGAAAACAUACAGACCUUCAUUUACAUGUCUAACAUUUUCUUUACUUUUUCUUUUUUAUUCACUUCUUUUUUAACCUAAUCAUUCCAAAGCCACCGCAAAGUUCGAUUCACAUAAACAUAGUAGCUGUAUAAUAUCAGGGACACCUGUAGAGUUACUCGCAGCUCAAAAUCUCCUUACUUUCUUAUACUGGCAUCCAUAAAACCAUAAUUUCAGCGCUAGUCCUGACCUCUGAAGCUAGCGCACUGAGCAAUAGACGGCUACUAGACGUCAAGUUUUUUUUUAUUUAGACCUAAUUUCAACCAUCUAGAUUCUGUUUAUUUUUAUGCAAACUUUGGAUAGGCAUUUGAAUAGGCAUUUUUGGAAUUUGGAUGUUGCACUUUAACCCACUAUUCGAUAAGUAUUUUUUUUAAAAAGUAACUGUGAGUUGCAUAACUGAUCUCCAAGUACUUAACCAAAAUAAUUAUGAUUAUGAUAAUUAUGAUAGCCGUUGAGCAAUAUACAGUGUAGUAUAGAUAUAGCUCUGAUUUAGAUUUAGUCUAAACUUGGACUAAAUUUAGACGUCUAAAAAACUCUAAUUUUUAGAUCUGAUUUUACAUCA